rnacentral:misc_RNA from 1 species
CAACCCUCAAGCUUUGCUUGGUAUUGGACAUUGCCAGUUUCUGGCAGGUCUUAAAAUCAGUGGCGGUGCCAUUUGGCUUCAAGCGUAGUAAUUCUUCUCGCUUUGGAGAUCCAGGUGGUUACUUGCCAAUAACCCCCCCAUUUUUUAAU